AGAAUCAACGCUGGCGGCGUGCCUAACACAUGCAAGUCGAACGAGAAAGUGGAGCAAUCCAUGAGUAAAGUGGCGCACGGGUGAGUAACACGUGACUAACCUACCUUUUAGUGGGGGAUAACCUAGGGAAACCUGGGCUAAUACCGCAUAACACUUACGAGUCAAAGCAGCAAUGCGCUGAAAGAGGGGGUCGCGGUCGAUUAGUUAGUUGGCAGGGUAAUGGCCUACCAAGACUGUGAUCGAUAUCCGGCCUGAGAGGGCGCACGGACACACUGGAACUGAAACACGGUCCAGACUCCUACGGGAGGCAGCAGUGGGGAAUUUUGCGCAAUGGGGGAAACCCUGACGCAGCAACGCCGCGUGGAGGAUGAAGUCCCUUGGGACGUAAACUCCUUUCGAUCGGGAAGAUUAUGACGGUACCGGAAGAAGAAGCCCCGGCUAACUUCGUGCCAGCAGCCGC
rnacentral:rRNA from 1 species